AUGCUCACCCAAGACCCAGACCCAAGGCGUCACCCGCGGCCCCUGAAGCUCACCCAAGACCUAGACCCAAGGCGUCACCCGAGGGCCCUGAUGUUCACCCAAGACCCCGACCCAGGGCGUCACCCGAGGGCCCUGAUGCUCACCCAAGACCCCCACCCAAGGCGUCACCCGAGGGCCCUGAUGCUCACCCAAGACCCAGACCCAGGGCGUCACCCGAGGGCCCUGAUGUUCACCCGAGACCCAGACCCAAGGCGUCACCCGAGGGCCCUGAUGCUCACCCAAGACCCCGACCCAGGGCGUCACCCGAGGGCCCUGAUGCUCACCCAAGACCCAGACCCAGGGCAUCACCCGAGGGCCCUGAAGCUCACCCAAGACCCAGACCCAAGGCGUCACCCCAGGGCCCUGACGCUCACCCAAGACCCCCACCCAAGGCGUCACCCGAGGGCCCUGAUGCUCACUCAAGACCCAGACCCAGGGCGUCACCCGAGGGCCCUGAUGCUCACCCAAGACCCCGACCCAAGGCGUCACCCGAGGGCCCUGAUGCUCACCCAAGACCCCGACCCAAGGCGUCACCCGAGGGCCCUGAUGCUCACUCGAGACCCAGACCCAGGGCGUCACCCGAGGGCCCUGAUGCUCACCCAAGACCCAGACCCAAGACCCGCUGCUCAUCACCCACCUGUUCCCGGGGUCUCAGUGAGGAAGGCACCCAGUAAGGCAGCGCUGCCUCGGCCCGGGGCACGGGCAGGCGGCCCCCGAAGUGGGCGUGGCACUCACAGCAGAGGGGCUCUCGGAGACCAUUUUGGGCGCCAGGGUACAUCUGAUCCAGAAAGGACAAAUUCAAUGUUUUACUGCAUGUGCAGUCACGCGAGGGGCCUUCCAGAACCCGAAGUGCUCAGACGGACGCGAUCCAUGGACAGGGCCGGGGUCCUGCUUCCCACAGCGGCCCAGAGACAGACGGACGCGAUCCAUGGACAGGGCCGGGGUCCUGCUUCCACAGCGGCCCAGAGACAGACGGACGCGAUCCAUGGACAGGGCCGGGGUCCUGCUUCCCACAGCGGCCAGAGAGAGGCCGGCUACCGUGACUGCCAGCGAGGGGCAGCCGGCACCUGCAGACCAGGUCCACCGGCACCUUCAGCCGCCCACUGCGCCGUUACCCUCUCCAAACGGCAGAGGCCCAGGGGACAGCAGAGCUGCUCUGGGGCCCCCGCGUCACUGCCCAGAGCACGUCCUGGUUUGCAAGGCUGGAAGCCCCACAGCCCCCCAGGUAGAAGAGGGAGGGCCGUCAGCACCUCUCGGGACUGA
rnacentral:lncRNA from 1 species